CGUAGGGUGCGAGCGUUAAUCGGAAUUACUGGGCGUAAAGCGUGCGCAGGCGGUUUUGUAAGACAGAUGUGAAAUCCCCGGGCUCAACCUGGGACCUGCAUUUGUGACUGCAAGGCUAGAGUACGGUAGAGGGGGAUGGAGUUCCGCGUGUAGCAGUGAAAUGCGUAGAUAUGCGGAGGAACACCGAUGGCGAAGGCAAUCCCCUGGACCUGUACUGACGCUCAUGCACGAAAGCGUGGGGAGCAAACAGGAUUAGAUACCCUGGUAGUCCACGCCCUAAACGAUGUCAACUGGUUGUUGGGUCUUUACUGACUCAGUAACGAAGCUAACGCGUGAAGUUGACCGCCUGGGGAGUACGGCCGCAAGGUUG
rnacentral:rRNA from 1 species